rnacentral:rRNA from 1 species
UACAGAGGGGGCAAGCGUUGUUCGGAAUUACUGGGCGUAAAGGGCGCGUAGGCGGCCGCCUAAGUCAGACGUGAAAUCCCUCGGCUCAACCGGGGAACUGCGUCUGAUACUGGGUGGCUUGAAUUCGGGAGAGGGAUGCGGAAUUCCAGGUGUAGCGGUGAAAUGCGUAGAUAUCUGGAGGAACACCGGUGGCGAAGGCGGCAUCCUGGACCAACACUGACACUGAGGAGCGAAAGCCGGGGGAGCAAACGGG